UACGUAGGGUGGAAGCGUUAAUCGGAAUUACUGGGCGUAAAGCGUGCGCAGGCGGUUGUGCAAGUCCGAUGUGAAAUCCCCGGGCUUAACCUGGGAAUUGCAUUUGUGACUGCACGGCUAGAGUGUGUCAGAGGGGGGUAGAAUUCCACGUGUAGCAGUGAAAUGCGUAGAUAUGUGGAGGAAUACCGAUGGCGAAGGCAGCCCCCUGGGAUAACACUGACGCUCAUGCACGAAAGCGUGGGGAGCAAACAGG
rnacentral:rRNA from 1 species